UGCUGCCUUUAGGAGAGUUGGGCUCCUCCUAGCUCAGUGCUUAGAGAUUUGAAAGAAACUCAUUGAUGUACUCUGGAUCUACAUACACCCAUGCUGAAAAACAUGCCAGUAUGUCUGUGUUGCAGAAGUUCAGCAGUCCACAAAUCUGCAUAGAGGGAUCUACUGGACACUUCUUUUCUAGAAAUUGCCCAAAGACAAACCCUCUGCCAGUGAGGAGUGUUUGGGAAUCUCAUAUCAACUCUUAACCUCCCUUUCCUUGAUUGUUUCCUUCUGGAAGCUGAAUAGAAAAUUAAGAUCUCAGAUACCCCUUGGCUGACAAUUCCAGACUCAUUAACUGGCAAGGAACAUGUGACAGUGUAAUAUGCCUUUUUGAGCACUAAUCUACACUUGUGCAACAGGAGUGUCAUUGCUGCAUGCCUUGGAACAUUUUAGGCGUAGGAGUCAAGAGCUUGAAAGGAUUAGGCACUGGCAAUCAAUUUUGGCAGUGCCUUGGACUAGGCCAUGCUGAUCUGUAUGAUGCAUGCAGAUAGACUAAACAUGGAAAAGAAGGCUUAAAAAGUUGAAGUCAUUGCCAUACAAAGGUAUGUUUGUCCUUGAGUUGGAAUCCUUUAAAUGAUGUGGUAUGGGGAGAGAGGAGGUCUGGCAUGACCUGCUGCCAGUUCCCUUUUCUCAGCAAUAUAUGAGCAUGACAUGGUCUUGAUGAUGUGGGUGAAGCAUUUACUAAAACCACUUGGAACUCUAAAUACAGUUUUGGAUUGCAGUCUCCAGGCUGGCUGGCUGACUUUGUUUAUUGCACGGUUUCUUUAAAAAAAAAAUAACCCAGCACAUCAUAUGUAUUUAGAUGGGGAGAUUAUCAUCUCUACUUUGGAUUUGGUCUUGAUGUCAAUUGACACUUCAUAAUGUUUGGCUGUUGGUGACUUAAGCAAUCUUGAAUGUUGCUGUAAUACAGAAUCACCCAAACAAAAGUCGCCCAGUAAGGAAACAGUGCAGCUGGUUGAGAAAUUGUGGAAGUGAUAGUGUUUUGAAAUGACUGUGAGGGGAAAAAAAACACCACCACAAAACCUAAUUUUCUGGGGGUAUAGCCUGGAAUGCAUUCUGUGUGUUAGAUUGCAGGAGAUAAUGCAGCAUAAGUAUGAAAAACAAGCAUGUUACUUCAGUUACAUGUGUAAAUAUUGAUGCCCUGUUUUAAUGUGAUGAUCUAAAAUGGUUUUGGUCUUGAAGGUACCCUUGCUCUAACUGCGUAAGGCUUGCACAUUGCACAGAGAUGACCUACUUCCUCUUCAAUAUUUUUUUUCUCUUGUGGUAGUGUUUCAUAGGCUAAACUUCAUAAGAUGUGCCAUUUCAUGACUGUGCUGAGCAAGUAUUGUGCUCUGCACAACUUCAGAUGCUGUAUCUUGUAUGAUAACUGAAAUUAGGUAGCUGAGGGUAAAUGAA